rnacentral:rRNA from 1 species
GACGAACGCUGGCGGCGUGGAUUAGGCAUGCAAGUCGAACGGUAUCAUCCUUUCGGGGGUGAGAGAGUGGCGAACUGGUGAGUAACACGUAGGUUAUCUACCCUCAAGACGGGGACAACCCAGGGAAACUUGGGCUAAUACCGGAUGUGAGCAACUUUUAGUUGUUUGAAAGGUGGCGUAAGCUGUCGCUUGGGGAUGAGCCUGCGUCCUAUUAGUUAGUUGGUGAGGUAACGGCUCACCUAGGCAAUGAUAGGUAGGCGGCCUUAACGGGUGGUCGCCCACACUGGGAUUGAGAUACGGCCCAGACUCCUACGGGAGCAGCAGUCGAGAAUAGUCUACAAUGGUCGGAAGACUGAUAGUGCGACGCCGCGUGAACGAUGAAUCCCUUCGGGGUGUAAAGUUCUUUUAUAUGUGAGCAGUGCUUCUUAUAUUAACAGUAUGGGGAAGAGAUAUUAGCAUAUGAAUAAGCAACGGCUAACUCCGUGCCAGCAGCCGAGGUAAAA